CAGUAGCCGCGGGAAUACGUAGGGUGCGAGCGUUAAUCGGAAUUACUGGGCGUAAAGCGUGCGCAGGCGGUUGUGUAAGACAGGUGUGAAAUCCCCGGGCUUAACCUGGGAACUGCGCUUGUGACUGCACAGCUAGAGUAUGGCAGAGGGGGAUGGAAUUCCGCGUGUAGCAGUGAAAUGCGUAGAUAUGCGGAGGAACACCGAUGGCGAAGGCAAUCCCCUGGGCCUGCACUGACGCUCAUGCACGAAAGCGUGGGGAGCAAACAGGAUUAGAUACCCGCGUAGUCCCUGUCUCUUAUCA
rnacentral:rRNA from 1 species